GAGGAAUAUUGGUCAAUGGGCGAAAGCCUGAACCAGCCAUGCCGCGUGAAGGAUGUAGGUUCUAUGGAUUGUAAACUUCUUUUAUUUGGGAAUAAACCUCGAGACGUGUCUCGAGCUGAAGGUACCAAAUGAAUAAGCACCGGCUAACUCCGUGCCAGCAGCCGCGGUAAUACGGAGGGUGCAAGCGUUAUCCGGAAUCAUUGGGUUUAAAGGGUCCGCAGGCGGAUUUAUAAGUCAGUGGUGAAAUCUCUCGGCUCAACCGAAAAACUGCCAUUGAUACUGUAAGUCUUGGAUUCGGUCGAAGUGGGCGGAAUAUGACAUGUAGCGGUGAAAUGCUUAGAUAUGUCAUAGAACACCGAUAGCGAAGGCAGCUCACUAGGCCUGGAUUGACGCUCAUGGACGAAAGCGUGGGGAGCAAAC
rnacentral:rRNA from 1 species